rnacentral:rRNA from 1 species
UACGGAGGAUGCGAGCGUUAUACGGAUUUAUUGGGUUUAAAGGGUGCGUAGGCGGGAUGCCAAGUCAGCGGUAAAAAUGCGGUGCUCAACGCCGUCGAGCCGUUGAAACUGGCGUUCUUGAGUGGGCGAGAAGUAUGCGGAAUGCGUGGUGUAGCGGUGAAAUGCAUAGAUAUCACGCAGAACUCCGAUUGCGAAGGCAGCAUACCGGCGCCCUACUGACGCUGAGGCACGAAAGCGUGGGUAUCGAACAGG